UUCGUUCUCUUCAUUUUAGACAUAAUGCGUAACUGAUUAUUUUUUUUAGCACACUGAUCGAUAUCUCGGUAAAAUAAUCUUCUUUUUUUUAACUAGCGGGGCAGUGAAAUCUUUGCUUUGUGCUAAAGUCAACAGUGACAGAGUUUGAGCUCAAAUAAAUGCCGUGAUGUCUCCAGCCCUUUGCAGAAGGCUGAAGGCGAGGUUCCACAUUGGGCUCCUAGCUUGCCAGUAAGCAUCCACCGUAUUUCACAGCAGGGCUCUGCUGGGGAGGGCUCCAUGGAUGUGCCGUCAGAGAGGUUCCUUCAGAGAGAAGAGGGAUAGGAAGGAGAGGAGGCCAUAAUGAGAAGAGGAGAGGUUCGGACAGGAGAAGCAGAUGGAUCUGCCACCACACCAAAUGGUCCCUUCUGUCGUGGGCUGUGCUGUGACCGCCCCAUGGCAGCGGCCAGAUGGAGGUGGAAUGGGACCAAUGGGAUCAAUGCGGUGCUGCCUACAAUCUUCUCCCUGCAUCACCUCAGAUCCACAGACACAGAACCACAAAGGCACUUUCCUCUCUGAGUGCUUGUCUACCUGGCUACGUCUGCGUCUGACCUGUCUGGAUCUAUGACAUAUCAAAGCUUGUGUCAGGCAGCGUGAAUAGGGAGAGAGAGGCACCAUUAAUGAUUAACUGUUCUUAAAGCCUAUCAGGCGGCCAUGUGACAUGCUCGCAGCAUUUUUUGAGCAGAUUGGGGGAAGCUAGUGAGCAAACACAGGUGCUUUGGAUUGGAGUCGCCGACGCUGUUAGGGACAACCACAAACAAGAGCAGCACUGCCUAGCUAAAUGAGAGCCCACCCACUUUACUUACUCCCUGGCUAGCUUAGCUUAGUCACUGACUGCAGUGGCCGGAGAUCCUCACCAGAGACCAAGUCCAAUGUCCCCCCAGUGUUCCACAACCUUUCACACAAACAARUAAAACGGGAGGAUUGGAGUCGCUGUGGUCUCAAGCAUCGGGGAAAGCAAACAAAUGAAUUGUGUUUCAGUUCUCACUUUCUAAAAAAAA